rnacentral:rRNA from 1 species
CAGCAGCCGCGGGAAUACGUAGGGUGCGAGCGUUAAUCGGAAUUACUGGGCGUAAAGCGUGCGCAGGCGGUUUUGUAAGACAGGCGUGAAAUCCCCGGGCUCAACCUGGGAAUGGCGCUUGUGACUGCAAAGCUAGAGUGCGGCAGAGGGGGAUGGAAUUCCGCGUGUAGCAGUGAAAUGCGUAGAUAUGCGGAGGAACACCGAUGGCGAAGGCAAUCCCCUGGGCCUGCACUGACGCUCAUGCACGAAAGCGUGGGGAGCAAACAGGAUUAGAUACCCCCGUAGUCCCUGUCUCUUAUAC